rnacentral:rRNA from 1 species
CCGUACAUGAUAUGGACUACCAGGGCAAUGUGAUACAGUCUCUAAGAGUCGAGUUGUUUGGGAAUGCAGCUCAAAGUGGGUGGUAAAUUCCAUCUAAGGCUAAAUAUAGGUGAGAGACCGAUAGCAAACAAGUACCGUGAGGGAAAGAUGAAAAGAACUUUGGAAAGAGAGUUAACAGUACGUGAAAUUGUUAAAAGGGAAACAUUUGAAGUUAGACUUGUUAUUGUUGGUUCAGCUCUUUUUAUAAGGGUGUAUUCCAAUGGUUAACAGACCAGCAUCAAUUUUUGGGUGUUAGAUAAGGGUCUUGAGAAUGUAGCAACUUCGGUUGUGUUAUAGAUCUUGACUUGAUAUAAUGCUUAGGAUUGAGGAACGCAGUGAGCUUCUUUGAAGUGGAUUCCCUUGGGAAUC